GGUGGCUCAUUGGUAGAGUGCUUGCCUUGCAUGCAUGAGGUCCUGGGUUCGAUUCCUCAGCACCA
rnacentral:tRNA from 1 species